CCUACGGGAGUCAGCAGUAAGGAAUAUUGGACAAUGCUCGCAAGAGUGAUCCAGCCAUGCCGCGUGCAGGAAGAAUGCCCUAUGGGUAGUAAACUGCUUUUGAACUAGAGAAAACCCCAGUACGUGUACUGGGCUGAUAGUAUAGUUAGAAUAAGCAUCGGCUAACUUCGUGCCAGCAGCCGCGGUAAGACGAAGGAUGCAAGCGUUAUCCGGAUUCAUUGGGUUUAAAGGGAGCGUAGGUGGACUGAUAAGUCAGUGGUGAAAUCUCCGAGCUUAACUCGGAAAUUGCCAUUGAUACUGUUGGUCUUGAGUACAGUUGCUGUGGGCGGAAUAUGACAUGUAGUGGUGAAAUCAUAGAGAUGUCAUAGAACACCGAUUGCGAAGGCAGCNCACAA
rnacentral:rRNA from 1 species